rnacentral:rRNA from 1 species
UACGGGGGGGGCAAGCGUUGUUCGGAAUUACUGGGCGUAAAGGGUCAGUAGGCGGCCAACUAAGUCCGACGUGAAAUCCCAAGGCUUAACCUUGGAACUGCGUCGGAUACUGGAUGGCUUGAAUUCGGGAGAGGGAUGCAGAAUUCCAGGUGUAGCGGUGAAAUGCGUAGAUAUCUGGAGGAACACCGGUGGCGAAGGCGACAUCCUGGACCGGUAUUGACGCUGAGGCGCGAAAGCAUGGGGAGCGAACGGG